rnacentral:lncRNA from 1 species
UUAUACGUUGCAUCCCAACUAUCUUCUGUAGAUUUUUACUAAAGUCUUCACGUGAUCAGAAGAAGAUAAAAUAUCCUCAGAGUCUGAUAUUGACCUAUCAUAAUCUCCUCGGUCCUUGCAUUGACUGGAUCUUCAAAGUAUGAAUAUUCAGAGUUUAGAUCUUCAGAGGCAAACUUAUUCAGAGUCAGAAUCUUUAGAGUCUAGUCUUCAGCUUCUAAUCUUUCAG